UCAUUUCCAAUCCAAACUCCACGAACAUUUUCUCUCUCAUGUAGUUGGAAUCAAUCACUGUAGCAAAAACCUAACCUUCAAGGAUUUCUGAUAUUCUGGAAUUGUCGCCUCCCUCUUCGUUGAAAUCUAAGAUUAACUGAGUCUGCAAGGAAAAAGAGGAGGGAUAAGAGAGUACCAAUGCACCUCAAUAAGAGCUUCACUGGAUUUCCAGUUGAUUGAGUUACAAAUUAAAGAUGGUAGAACUUGGAGAACUAUAGGAAGGUGCGUAAUUGAUAUUUUUAUCCAGGAAUUGGCACGACCAUUGGUGCCGGAGUUUUUAUUCUGAUCGGUACAAUCGCUAGAGAGAGUACUGGACCGACCCUGCCGCUAUCCUUUCUGUUUGCUGGUAUAGCUGCUGCUCUCUCUGCAUUUUGUUAUGCAGAGCUCGCCAGUUGGUGACCUUCUGCUAGCAGUGCGUAUCAUUACUCAUAUGUAUGUGUUGGAGUGGGUGUAGCGUGGUUGAUUGGUUCGGCUUUGAUGCUAAAGUAUACAAUUGGGUGAUCUGCAAUUUCCCAUGGCAUAUCUCCGAAUCUGAUAUUUUAUCUCGAUCUACUAAACAAAAGACCAGUGUAAUGUUGGGUGUUCCCAAGGCUAAUGGCAUGGGAUAUGGAGGAGAUUGAUAGGUCAAGGAAGCAGAUCGAGCCCCAAGAAUAACAGGCGACUACAAAUGUAUUGUGGUAAUAGUAAUAGGUAAUAGGUGUGGUAUUGUGGUGUUGGUGAAUUAUGGGGACAAUGUUUAGCUAUAUAUAUAAUGUAUAAUUAGGACUCUAUGUAUAAUAUGUAACAUAUAUGAUAUAAUAGACAAUUUGUAUUCUAUUAAUGAUAUAAUUCUACUGGUAGAAUCUUUACAAUA